rnacentral:rRNA from 1 species
AUUGAACGCUGGCGGCAGGCCUAACACAUGCAAGUCGAACGAGUGGCGGACGGGUGAGUAAUGUCUGGGAAACUGCCUGAUGGAGGGGGAUAACUACUGGAAACGGUAGCUAAUACCGCAUACCAUCGGAUUUGCCCAGAUGGGGUGAGCUAGUAGGUGGGGUAAAGGCUCACCUAGGCUACGAUCCCUAGCUGGUCUGAGAGGAUGACCAGCCAAACGGGAACUGAGCCACGGUCCAGAUUCCAACGGAAGGCAGAGGUGGGAAAUAUUGCACAAGGGGGGAAGUCCUGAUGCAGACAUGCCGCGUGUAUGAAGAAGGCCUUCGGGUUGUAAAGUACUUUCAGCGGGGAGGCGUUACCCGAAGAAGAAGCACCGGCUAACUCCGUGCCAGCCGCCGCGGUAAUUC